rnacentral:rRNA from 1 species
AGCAGCCGCGGUAAUUCCAGCUCCAAUAGCGUAUAUUAAAGUUGUUGCAGUUAAAAAGCUCGUAGUUGAAUUUCGGGGCCAGUAGGUUGGUCGUGCCACUGGUAUGCACUGGCCUUACUGGUCCCUCCCUCUUGUAGAACUGUGAUGCCAUUAAUUUGGUGUUGCGGGGAAACAGGACUGUUACUUUGAAAAAAUUAGAGUGCUUAAAGCAGGCUCGCGCUUGAAUACAUUAGCAUGGAAUAACGGAAUAGGACGAUCGAACCUAUUUUGUUGGUUUCUAGGAUCGACGUAAUGAUUAAUAGGGAUAGUUGGGGGCAUUAGUAUUCAAUUGUCAGAGGUGAAAUUCUUGGAUUUAUUGAAGACUAACUACUGCGAAAGCAUUUGCCAAGGAUGUUUUCAUUAAUCAAGAACGAAAGUUAGGGGAUCGAAGACGAUCAGAUACCGUCGUAGUCUUAACCAUAAACUAUGCCGACUAGGGAUCGGAUGAAGUUAAUUUUUAAUGACUCAUUCGGCGCCUUAA